UCUUGGUCAUUUAGAGGAAGUAAAAGUCGUAACAAGGUUUCCGUAGGUGAACCUGCGGAAGGAUCAUUAAUGAAACUUCAAAGUCGGCCAAAGGUUGUUGCUGGUGAUUAUUCACAUGUGCACGCCUUUGGUCGCAAAUCCACACACACCUGUGCAUCUAUGACUCGAGGUUGUAAUGACUGAGAGUAACUUUUAUACACUCUUGUAUGUAAUGGAAUGUCUUUUUGUGCUAUAAUGUACAAUAUAAACAACUUUCAACAACGGAUCUCUUGGCUCUCGCAUCGAUGAAGAACGCAGCGAAAUGCGAUAAGUAAUGUGAAUUGCAGAAUUCAGUGAAUCAUCGAAUCUUUGAACGCACCUUGCACCCUUUGGUAUUCCGAAGGGUACGCCCGUUUGAGUGUCAUUGUAAUCUCACUUCUACAACUUUAUUGUUGUUUGAAUGUGGACUUGGAUGUUGCCGUUUUAUCACGGCUCGUCUUAAAUGCCUGAGUGUACCCUGUUUUGCAGCGUAUCCAGUGUAAUAAACAUUUCACUAGAGUUGGUCGAAAGACCGCGUUGACUAUAUGGGCUCUAUGCUUCAAACCGUCUGCCAUGUGGACAAUUUCUUGACAAUUUGACCUCAAAUCGGGUGGGACUACCCGCUGAACUUAAGCAUAUCAAUAAGCGGAGGAAAAGAAACUAACAAGGAUUCCCCUAGUAACGGCGAGUGAAGAGGGAAAAGCUCAAAUUUUAAAUCUGGUGUCUUUGACUCCCGAGUUGUAAUCUAGAGAAGUGUUUUCCGUGUCGGACCGUGUACAAGUUCCCUGGAACGGGGCGUCAUAGAGGGUGAGAAUCCCGUAUAUGCCACGGACUACCGAUGCUCUGUGAUACACUCUCAACGAGUCGAGUUGUUUGGGAAUGCAGCUCAAAAUGGGUGGUAAAUUCCAUCUAAAGCUAAAUAUUGGCGAGAGACCGAUAGCGAACAAGUACCGUGAGGGAAAGAUGAAAAGCACUUUGGAAAGAGAGUGAAACAGUACGUGAAAUUGUUGAAAGGGAAGCGUUUGAAGUCAGUCGCAUCUGUUGGGGUUCAGCCUGGCUUUUGCCUGGUGUAUUUCCUUUCCGAUGGGUCAGCAUCAGUUUCGACCGAGGGAAAAAGACAUUUGGAAUGUGGCUGU
rnacentral:rRNA from 1 species